rnacentral:snRNA from 11 species
CUGCCUUAAACUAAUGAGUAAGGAAAAUAGCAGACCGGUUUGACUUAUCGGUCCCCAAACAUAAUUGGGCUAUUGUUUGCAGGGCAUAGGCUGUCCU